rnacentral:pre_miRNA from 1 species
AGUAGCAUAGCUGGGUCAAAUGGUGAAUCCAUUCCCAGGUUUCCAAGGAAUUUCCAUACUGCUUUCCAUAUUGGCUAUACCAAUUUGCAGUCUCACCAGCAAU